rnacentral:rRNA from 1 species
AGUGAACGCUGGCGGUAGACCUAACACAUGCAAGUCGAACGGCAGCACAGUAAGAGCUUGCUCUUACGGGUGGCGAGUGGCGGACGGGUGAGGAAUACAUCGGAAUCUACUUUUUCGUGGGGGAUAACGUAGGGAAACUUACGCUAAUACCGCAUACGACCUACGGGUGAAAGCAGGGGAUCUUCGGACCUUGCGCGAUUGAAUGAGCCGAUGUCGGAUUAGCUAGUUGGCGGGGUAAAGGCCCACCAAGGCGACGAUCCGUAGCUGGUCUGAGAGGAUGAUCAGCCACAAUGGAACUGAGACAAGGUCCAGACUCCUACGGGAGGCAGCAGUGGGGAAUAUUGGACAAUGGGCGCAAGCCUGAUCCAGCCAUACCGCGUGGGUGAAGAAGGCCUUCGGGUUGUAAAGCCCUUUUGUUGGGAAAGAAAAGCAGCAGGUUAAUACCCCGCUGUUCUGACGGUACCCAAAGAAUAAGCACCGGCUAACUUCGUG